CUCUAUGAGGAAAAUUCAGUGUCUGCAUGCAGAGGGAGGAGACACUGAAUGUUUGGAUGCAUUGUAGGCAGCCAUGACCCAGGAAGGAUCUCUAACAGCCAUCUAAGGAGUGGCCAGUGAAGUUAUCACUAGGCUGUAAUGUAAAGACUGCAUUUUCUCUGAAAAGACAGUGUUUACAGCAAAAAGCCUGACGGUAAUGAUUCUACUCACCAGAACAAAUUCAAUAAGCUGUAGUUGUUCUGGUGACUCUAGUGUCC